rnacentral:rRNA from 1 species
GAUGAACGCUGGCGGCGUGCCUAAUACAUGCAAGUCGAGCGAACGGACGAGAAGCUUGCUUCUCUGAUGUUAGCGGCGGACGGGUGAGUAACACGUGGAUAACCUACCUAUAAGACUGGGAUAACUUCGGGAAACCGGAUCUAAUACCGGAUAAUAUUAUGAACCGCAUGGUUCAAAAGUGAAAGACGGUCUUUCUGUCACUUAUAGAUUGAUCCGCGCUGCAUUAGCUAGUUGGUAAGGUAACGGCUUACCAAGGCAACGAUGCAUAGCCGACCUGAGAGGGUGAUCGGCCACACUGGAACUGAGACACGGUCCAGACUCCUACGGUGGGAAGCAGUAGGGAAUCUUACGCAAGGGGGGAGAGCGUAACGGAGCAAAGCGGGGUGAGGGAUGAAGGUCUUCGGAUCGUAAAACUCUGUUAUUAGGGAAGAACAAAUGUGUAAGUAACUGUGCACAUAUUGACGGUACCUAAUCAGAAAGCCACGGCUAACUACGUG